AACGAACGCUGGCGGCAUGCCUAAUAUAUGCAAGUCGAACGAGAUCUUCGGAUCUAGUGGCGCACGGGUGCGUAACGCGUGGGAAUCUGCCCUUGGGUUCGGAAUAACUUCUGGAAACGGAAGCUAAUACCGGAUGAUGACGUAAGUCCAAAGAUUUAUCGCCCAAGGAUGAGCCCGCGUAGGAUUAGCUAGUUGGUGGGGUAAAGGCCCACCAAGGCGACGAUCCUUAGCUGGUCUGAGAGGAUGAUCAGCCACACUGGGACUGAGACACGGCCCAGACUCCUACGGGAGGCAGCAGUAGGGAAUAUUGGACAAUGGGCGCAAGCCUGAUCCAGCAAUGCCGCGUGAGUGAUGAAGGCCUUAGGGUUGUAAAGCUCUUUUACCCGGGAUGAUAAUGACAGUACCGGGAGAAUAAGCUCCGGCUAACUCCGUGCCAGCCGCCGCCGUAAGAC
rnacentral:rRNA from 1 species